UUUGUACUCCUUCCAUCUGAAAAUACUUGUCAUCAAAAUGAAUAAAAGGGUAUGUAUCUAGAUGUAUUUUAGUUCUGCAUACAUCUCCUUUUAUCCAUUCUGAUGACAAAUAUUUUCAGACGGAGGAAGUAGUUU
rfam:Triticum aestivum genome assembly, contig: Triticum_aestivum_CS42_TGACv1_scaffold_222460_3B